UACGAAGGGGGCUAGCGUUGCUCGGAAUUACUGGGCGUAAAGCGCACGUAGGCGGCUUCUUAAGUCGGGGGUGAAAUCCUGGAGCUCAACUCCAGAACUGCCUUCGAUACUGGCGAUCUCGAGUUCGGGAGAGGUGAGUGGAACUGCGAGUGUAGAGGUGAAAUUCGUAGAUAUUCGCAAGAACACCAGUGGCGAAGGCGGCUCACUGGCCCGAUACUGACGCUGAGGUGCGAAAGCGUGGGGAGCAAACAGG
rnacentral:rRNA from 1 species